GGCUCUCGGCGCGCUCCUACGCCUGGUCCCGCCCGGCUCGGGGAAGCGGCUGCGGAACCGCGCAAAGGCAGCCACCGAAGGAGCAGCGAGGCGAGGCGGGCGUCGGCGCGUCCGCGUCCCGGUUCCCCGGACACAGCGCCAAGGAUGCUACCUUCUAGAGGACUUAUGAAAUGGAAAACAACUUUGGCAACUUUGUCUAACUGUGGUCAUAUGACUCACUUUUCUUGGCUGGUCUCACUCUGUUGCUCCUGACUGAAGAGAAGACACCCAUUUCAGGCUUGUAUUCCAUGUGACUCUAAUUCUUGUGGGGAAAAAAAUCAGCCUCAUUACUCUAUGGUCAAAACACUAUUAUUUUUGUAUAGCUCUAUGACUGUGUGUUUUACUUUUUUAAAAAUGAGUUUCUUGAACAAAUUAUAGAAAAGUUCUAUACAGAUUUCCCUCCUGGUCCCAAAUUUUAGUCUGUGUAAAAACCAAUUUUUUUAAUACCUGAAUUUUUCUGAACAUGAGAAUGGUUCCCCCUUGCUUUGAAGGACAGUUUGUGGCAAAUAUAUUCUGGAAACUUUU